ensembl:lncRNA
UAUAUAUAUACAUAUAUAUAUAUAGUUACUAGCUUGUUUGACUUGUCACGAGUCGAAUGAGUUUAAUCCAAACCUACAGAUCACAAAAUCAAGUAGGACUAUUUAAUCUAACAAUAACAUUUUAAAAGUGAAAAAAAUAAAAAAAAAUAAAAUGUGUUUUAUUUGUGGAAGUUUCAGGAAUAAUAUGCUCACGGUUUAAUUUUUUUCACAGUUAAAGAGGUCUCUGAAUAUUUUAAAAGAACCUGUCUUAGAUCUCAACCCCAAUCAAGACAUUUUAGCGGAUACAACUCUAUAAAAGUAGUUCAAUCGAUUGCGCCAAAAACGCUUCAACGUCAGUCUGUAGCAAAUCUCUCUGUCUCUACGUGGCGCUCAGACCUACUGGUAAACCUUUUACCAAAUGUCUUUCGGCGAGGCAUUUAUUUGAUAUGAUGAAUAGUAUUUAUUUGAUAUGAUUUCACAGUAGAAAUCCAAUCAUCCAGUAUGGAGUUGACUAUAGAAUUCUAUUGUAUUUUGUUCUAAUGUUUAAUAUACUGUUCUUCCUAAACAUUUUAUCCUAUGUUGUUGUUGUUUUUUUUAAUCUCUUCACCAUCAAAGAACAAAUUUUGUCUCUUAGAAGGAAUAGAAUUUUUUUUUUUUUACCACAAAAACAUACAACCUAACAUUAUAUAUUAUAUAAUAUGGCUUUUAUAUACAAAAUGUAAAGGCUAUAAAGGUUUUUCAGACUUCUACCAGACACUUGUGCAGACACUAGUAAUGUGUAGUUUAUUUGCAGAGCAUAGAAAGACGUUUGAGUGUUUUAUGCUGGACAAAACGGUUAAUCAUAUCAUGAUCACCAGGCGUGAGGGUUUGCAUUUUUUGGAUUAAUUGAUGUUAAACUAUGUACUGAUGCGAGCUUUUGUAUAUUUGCGAGAUUUGUUGUAGACUGUACUUUACUUUUCACACUUUUAUUUGGAAUCGCCUAAAUGCAAAAAUGGUCAGUAUUUUUGCUCUCAUAGGACUCAGUUCUGUCAUUGCGAUCGCAGUGCUAAAACGGAGUGAUUACGGGGGUCUUAACAUGUUUCUCACUGCCCUCACCCUUCUUUUGUCACAUUUAAUUAUCACAAUAUCCUAAACAAAAGUGUUUGCAUCAUUCAGUCCCGUUUAUUCUUCGUUAUAUUCUUAUACACCGCUAUUAGCGAAACGACCAUGUUAACUUAUUAGUCAAACUUAUCAUGCGGUUAGUAGUCCUAGCAUUUUUCUUGUAUAUCUGAUCAUCUUUAGAUUGAUCAGAAAUAUCAUGUGAACAUUGUGACGACUGUCAAGGUGCAACAAAUAAACAGUGACAC